AAAUUAGUUGAAAUGAUGUCAGGU
rnacentral:piRNA from 1 species